rnacentral:rRNA from 1 species
CACGGGGGGAGCAAGCGUUGUUCGGAAUCACUGGGCGUAAAGGGCGUGUAGGCGGUCAAGUAAGUGGAAUGUGAAAGCCCCCGGCUUACCCGGGGAUCUGCAUCCCAAACUGCUUGGCUUGAGUACGGGAGAGGAUAGGGGAAUUCCUGGUGUAGCGGUGAAAUGCGUAGAUAUCAGGAGGAACACCGGUGGCGAAGGCGGCAACCUGGUCCUUGACUGACGCUGAGGCGCGAAAGCGUGGGGAGCAAACAGG